rnacentral:rRNA from 1 species
AUGCAUGGCGUUCCAUCGGCAAGGGUCAUACGGAUGGGCUAGUCGUUAAUGUGAACUAGUGGACAUAAAGCGUGAGUAUGCGAGGAGGCAAGACCGCAGUGAAACUGCCGAGGUUAACCAAGGUAGUGCAUAGGUGACGGCAUCGAUGGAGUAUGUCAGAGGAGGGUAGAAGUCCACGUGUAGCAGUUGAAUGCGUAUAGAUGUGGAGGAAUACCGAUGGAGAAGGCAGCCCACUGGGCGAAUACUGACGCUCAUGCACGAAAGCGUGGGGAGCAAACAGGAUUAGAUACCCGAGUAGUC